rnacentral:rRNA from 1 species
GCCUACUACAUGCAAGUCGAGCGGGACUUGAUGAAGGAGCUUGCUUCCUCUGAGAGUUAGCGGCGCGACGGAGUGUAGAUAACACGUAGGCAACCUGCCCUCAAGACUGGGAUAACUGCCGGAAACGGUAGCUAAUACCGGAUAAUUAAAUCCGCUGCAUGGGGGAGUUAUGAAAGGCGGAGCAAUCUGUCACUUGAGGAUGGGCCUGCGGCGCAUUAGCUAGUUGGUGAGGUAACGGCUCACCAAGGCGACGAUGCGUAGCCGACCUGAGAGGGUGAACGGCCACACUGGGACUGAGACACGGCCCAAACUCCUACGGGAGGCAGCAGUAGGGAAUCUUCCGCAAUGGGCGAAACCCUGACGGAGCAACGCCACGUGAGUGAUGAAGGUUUUCGGAUCGUAAAGCUCUGUUGCCAGGGAAGAACGUCUCAUAGAGUAACUGCUAUGAGAGUGACGGAACCUGAGAAUAAAGCCCCGGCUAACUACGUGCCAGCACCCGCGGUAAUACGUAGGGGGCAAGCGUUGUCCGGAAUUAUUGGGCGUAAAGCGCGCGCAGGCGGUUCUUUAAGUCUGGUGUUUAAACCCGAGGCUCAACUUCGGGACGCACUGGAAACUGGGGAACUUGAGUGCAGAAGAGGAGAGUGGAAUUCCACGUGUAGCGGUGAAAUGCGUAGAUAUGUGGAGGAACACCAGUGGCGAAGGCGACUCUCUGGGCUGUAACUGACGCUGAGGCGCGAAAGCGUGGGGAGCGAACAGGAUUAGAUACCCUGGUAGUCCACGCCGUAAACGAUGAAUGCUAGGUGUUAGGGGUUUCGAUACCCUUGGUGCCGAAGUUAACACAUUAAGCAUUCCGCCUGGGGAGUACGGUCGCAAGACUGAAACUCAAAGGAAUUGACGGGGACCCGCACAAGCAGUGGAAUAUGUGGUUUAAUUCGAAGCAUCGCGAAAAACCUUACCAGUCUUGACAUCCCUCUAAAUCCUCUAGAGAUAUGGGCGGCCUUCGGAACAAAGAAACAGGUGGUGCAUGGUUGUCGUCAACUCGGGCGGGAAAUGUGGAUAAACCCCCACAACCCAACCUUGAUCUUAUUUGCCGGCCUUCGGGGGGACUC